rnacentral:lncRNA from 1 species
UUGCUGGCUUCCUCAAGUUUCUAUGCUUACCAAAGUACAGCUAUGAAGUGGAAUAUCUUCCAGCCUCAAAAGAGGCAUCUGAAGGAAAAGCUUCAGCUGAGAGGGAAAUAGUUGACAUGUCAGACCUGUACACAGACAUUAUGAGGAGAUCAAACACAGAUGGCAUUCCCAGAGCUUCCAGUCUAUCAAGCAUCGACUCAAUAAUGACCCCCAGUCGUAUGUCUGGAGGAGACCUGGAUACAACCUGCAGUAGCACACAUGCUAGCACUGAGCCAUCCGAGUAUGUGCGUGGUCUGGAUCCAAAAUCAAAACGCCUAUCAUCCGGGAGAAGCAAUGUAAUGGCAGAGCCAGAAGUUAUUCAUCC